GGAAAGAUGGCUCAGUGGUUAAGAGCACUGGCUGCUCUUCCAGAGGUCCUGAGUUCAAUUCCCAGUAACCA
rnacentral:tRNA from 1 species